CACCGUCUCCGGCAGGCAGGCUCUGGGGUCUGGGCGCCUCCGCGGCCUGCCCGGGCCCGCUCUUCCACUCGGUCCCCCAGUUAGCCGCGCUUCUCAGUAGCUCCAAAGCUAUACAGACAAUUUGUUUAGUGAAGCUCCUCAGACAAUGGAAAGUUACGAGGUUUCCUGGAUGUUGUGUUCGGGAGGCGGGGCCGGGACCCGCUGAAGGCGGUUUCCCCAGCCCCGUUCCCCCCCUCUCUGCCCCCCUCAGCCACCGGGCAGCAGAAAGAGGCGGCCAGCCUUCUCCUGCCCUUCAGCUGGAGGACCUACGGCUGCCGCGCCCGCCACCUCUGCACCUGCCAGGCUGAGGAAAGGAGAGACCGCCGCGGCGUGGGUCUUCCGUCAGUCUUCCGGCUUCCCGCGGGCCGGCCCCAAAGGGCGCAGGGAGCCCAGUGGGGACGUGGCGGUCCUGCUACGCGCCUUUGCUCGGGAGGUGGGUUCAGCAGACGCGCGAGAAAAAGCCCUCACCUCUGCCUCCCGGCUCCACGAGAACCUGGCGGCGAACGCCCAGGGGCGGCCGGCCCCUCCCUGGGAUUCAACCCAACCUGGAUUCAGCCUCUUCGGCCGCAAAAACUCCCAAGCCCCGCAGCCUCGCCGUGCACCUCUCGCGGCUUCCAGCGCUGGGGCCCCCGCACACUUCCGAGCUUCUGGCGUGGCAGCCCCUGGCUUCCUUUAAGGAAGGCGCGAGGGGGCCCAAGGGACCUCCGGCCUAAUCGACCAGGACCGCAUAGUCUCCCAGUGGACCUUAGAAACAAGCCCACAAUCAAGAUCCUCGCUACCUUCUGCCUGGGAAGCCCGGGACUGACCCGAGUCCCCGAAUAAUCCGAAUCCUAACCUAGUUGUCCCCAGUUUUUCCCGCAGAGCAGAAGAGACCUGCCAGCCUGAGCGCAGAGGGGGCUGACAAGGAGCCUCUCUCUGGCGGCUACUUGGUAGGAACUUGGCGUUUUGCUGGCGUCUCCGCGUUUUAUCCGCGUAUUUGGUUGACCCUACGGUCGGUGAUUAGCCACCCAGGCCCUCCCGCUCACCACGCCCCGUGCGGCCCGGGAGUCAAUGUUUUGGCAGGAGCCUCGGGGGCUCUGAACGUCUUGCGAGCGAGCGGAGUUGGCGAAGGCAAGGUUUCUCCACGCGCCCAGAACGAGCGCCGUUACGCGCUUCCCCGCUGCGCACCCCGCGAAGUUGGAGGAGGAAGAAAAUUUUAAAUACAUUGGCCAAAACUCAUUCUUGAGAACACUUUGAAGUUGGGUAACUCGGACUGCGCUACUCUGCCCCGCUCCCUCCCCCAACUCCCUGCGCAGCCAGAUGCACCAGAAAGCGGCACUUUGAUCUUGCAAAGCAGUAAUUCACAUUUCUUUUUUUUUUUUAAAUUUUUUUCUGUAAAGAAGAUGAUGGGACCGGGGUGAACAUAAUACAAUUCCACCGGCGCGCGGUUGAGGAGCGGUUUUCUGGGCCGGGCCAGGGCUGGGCCCGGGAUGCCGGCACAUCUGUUCGCCCGGGUUUGCCGCAUUCCAGGCUUUUUUCUUCCUCUCCCUCGGUGGACCGGUCCGCGUGAUUCACCCCAGGCAGGAAGCUGGGCUUUAUUUGUCUUUGACCUGGAGAUGCUAGGAGAGGUGUGGAGAGGUUGGCCGGGGCGGGGGUGGGGAAUUGCCGUCGGAAAAGCUCUGAGGCUUUCCUUGAUUUGACUUGGAAGAGAGGGGAGGAGCUCAGAGAGUAAAAGCGCCUCCUGCCUUCCAGCGAAGCACUCGGUACCCUCUACCCUCUUCCUUCCAGGAAAGAGGUGAGGGCAGCUGCAGACUCUGUGGGUGCAGGGCCAACAUCAACCCGUACCGUCGGUCUUUCCCGCCACAGGGAUUUACUGAAAUAAAACCGACGUGCAACUUUGUCUGGCA
rnacentral:lncRNA from 1 species